UUGAUACUCCAUCACAAUUACAAAAUCUCAUUUACUCAGCAAAAUCAAACAAAGCUUCGGGGAUGAUGGUUUCAUCUUCAUCUGAUUGCUCCCAGUUAUUCGAGGACGUGCAAAACAAACUUGAUUCAACUAUGCCAUGGAUAGGAUUGUAUAUUGCAGCUGCCACUGCCUUGUGCACUCUUGCUAUGGCGGCUGAUGCUUUCAUUGGACUUAGAAGCAAAAGGUUGAGUGGCGGCGAGAGGUUGGUGGUGUUGAGCAAGUAACUUGAAGAAUUUAAUGUUUAUCUUUGAAUUAUGGGUGUUGUUGUGUCUUCACACAUGACGUCACUCCUUCUCUUGGUCGUUUUCCGCUGCGAUACUUCUUUUACUUAUUAGUUGUUGGGCCCGAACCUAAAUUUGUCCGGUUAUUGGUUUCUUGUGAUUUUGUUGGAUAAUGUCAAACUCUUAAUCGUUUCCCUUUGAGUAUUAAUUGCCGGCCCAAAUCAUUAUUUAAA